AUUGUUACCUAACAGGGGAGAUACCAUGACACGAAGGUGGUUUUCCCAGGGCAAGGCUUACCCAUUACACUCUGGAUGUGCUGACCUCGGCGAUUCCCCCAAAUGUGGGAAAAUUUGCAUAAUUUGUGGUAGUGGGGAGGUCUAUGUUCACAUUUUCCCUU
ensembl:snRNA U1 U1 spliceosomal RNA